UCGGGCGUGGUGCAUGGUACACCCUUGCUUGUCAUUUUGACUUGUUAUAAACUGAGGUGGGAGCCCCGGGUUCGAUUCCCGGCGUCUGAA